rnacentral:tRNA from 3 species
GCCUUUUAAGUAUAGAUUCGUACGGCUGUUUUCCAAUCAGUAGGGUUAGCAUUAUUUCUGCUAAAAAAGGUA